rnacentral:rRNA from 1 species
GAUCAUGGCUCAGGAUGAACGCUAGCUACAGGCUUAACACAUGCAAGUCGAGGGGCAGCAUGAGAUUAGCUUGCUAAUCUUGAUGGCGACCGGCGCACGGGUGAGUAACGCGUAUCCAACCUUCCCCCUACUCAGGCAUAGCCCGGUGAAAACCGGAUUAACUCCUGAUAGUUUCACUAGAUGGCAUCUGACGGUGAAUAAAGCUCAGCGGUAAGGGAUGGGGAUGCGUCUGAUUAGCUUGUUGGCGGGGUAACGGCCCACCAAGGCGACGAUCAGUAGGGGUUCUGAGAGGAAGGUCCCCCACAUUGGAACUGAGACACGGUCCAAACUCCUACGGGAGGCAGCAGUGAGGAAUAUUGGUCAAUGGGCGCGAGCCUGAACCAGCCAAGUAGCGUGCAGGAAGACGGCCCUAUGGGUUGUAAACUGCUUUUGUGCGGGAAUAAAGUCAGGGACGUGUCCCUGUUUGCAUGUACCGCAAGAAUAAGGACCGGCUAAUUCCGUGCCAGCCGCUGC